rnacentral:rRNA from 1 species
AUCGAAAGGUGGGAGUGCCCGCAAGGGAGCGCGGAGACAGGUGGUGCAUGGCUGUCGUCAGCUCGUGUCGUGAGAUGUUGGGUUAAGUCCCGCAACGAGCGCAACCCUCACCCCUUGUUGCCACCAGGUCAGGCUGGGCACUCUAGGGGAACUGCCCCGGUCAACGGGGAGGAAGGCGGGGAUGACGUCAAGUCAUCAUGCCCCUUACGUCCUGGGCUACACACGUGCUACAAUGGCCGGUACAAAGGGAUGCAAGACCGCGAGGUGGAGCUAAACCCAAAAAGCCGGUCUAAGUUCAGAUUGGAGUCUGCAACUCGACUCCAUGAAGGAGGAAUCGCUAGUAAUCGCGUAUCAGCACGACGCGGUGAAUACGUUCCCGGGCCUUGUACACACCGCCCGUCACACCACGAAAGCCAG